rnacentral:tRNA from 1 species
GCGGAUAUAGCUUAAUGGUAGAGUAUCACCUUGCCAAGGUGGGCGUUGGGGGUUCAAGUCCCCCUAUCCGCU